CAUGCAAGUCGAACGGAAACCUUCGGGUUUUAGUGGCGAACGGGUGAGUAACACGUAAGCAACCUACCCUUAAGACGAGGAUAACAAUUGGAAACGGUUGCUAAGACUGGAUAGGAAAAGUAAAGGCAUCUUUACUUUUUUAAAAGACCUUCUUUGAAGGUAUGCUUAAGGAGGGGCUUGCGACACAUUAGUUAGUUGGCAGGGUAAAGGCCUACCAAGACUAUGAUGUGUAGCUGGACUGAGAGGUUGAACAGCCACAUUGGGACUGAGACACGGCCCAAACUCCUACGGGAGGCAGCAGUAGGGAAUUUUCGGCAAUGGAGGAAACUCUGACCGAGCAACGCCGCGUGAACGAUGAAGUACCUCGGUAUGUAAAGUUCUUUUAUUAAGGAAGAAAAAAGAGUGGAAAAACUCCCUUGACGGUACUUAAUGAAUAAGCCCCGGCUAAUUAUGUGCCAGCAGCCGCGGUAAUACAUAAGGGGCGAGCGUUAUCCGGAAUUAUUGGGCGUAAAGGGUGCGUAGGCGGUUUAAUAAGUCUAUAGUUUAAUUUCAGUGCUUAACGCUGUUGUGCUAUAGAAACUGUUUUACUAGAGUGAGUUAGAGGCAAGCGGAAUUCCAUGUGUAGCGGUAAAAUGCGUAAAUAUAUGGAGGAACACCAGAGGCGUAGGCGGCUUGCUGGGACUUUACUGACGCUGAGGCACGAAAGCGUGGGGAGCAAACAGGAUUAGAUACCCUGGUAGUCCACGCCGUAAACGAUGAGUACUAAGUGUCGGGUAAAACCGGUACUGAAGUUAACACAUUAAGUACUCCGCCUGAGUAGUACGUACGCAAGUAUGAAACUUAAAGGAAUUGACGGGACUCCGCACAAGCGGUGGAUCAUGUUGUUUAAUUCGAAGAUACACGAAAAACCUUACCAGGUCUUGACAUUUUCUUGCGAAGUUAUAGAAAUAUAAUGGAGGUUAUCAGGAAAACAGGUGGUGCAUGGUUGUCGUCAGCUCGUGUCGUGAGAUGUUAGGUUAAGUCCUAAAACGAGCGCAACCCUUGUCGUUAAUUGCCAGCAUGUAAUGAUGGGGACUUUAACGAGACUGCCAAUGAAAAAUUGGAGGAAGGUGGGGAUUACGUCAAAUCAUCAUGCCCCUUAUGAUCUGGGCUACAAACGUGAUACAAUGGUUGAUACAAAGAGUAGCUGAAACGCGAGUUCUUAGCCAAUCUCACAAAAUCAAUUUCAGUUCGGAUUGAAGUCUGCAACUCGACUUCAUGAAGUUGGAAUCGCUAGUAAUCGCGAAUCAGCAUGUCGCGGUGAAUACGUUCUCGGGGUUUGUACACACCGCCCGUCAAACCACGAAAGUUGGCAAUACCCCAAAGCGGUCACCUAACUUCGCAAGAAGAAGGAUCCGUCUAAGGUAGGGUCGAUGAUUGGGGUUAAG
rnacentral:rRNA from 1 species